rnacentral:rRNA from 1 species
AUAUCAUUUAGCGGAGGAAAAGAAACUAACAAGGAUUCCCUUAGUAACGGCGAGUGAACGGGGAGAAGCCCAGCGCUGAAUCUUUCGGUGUUACACUGUUAAGAAAUGUAGCGUAUAGAUGUGAUUUUCAGUUUGUGCUACAUGUCCAAAGUCCCUUUGAUAGGGGCCACAUUCCUGAGAGGGUGCGAGACCUGUGCGGACAGUGGAGCAAGCUGUACGAUUAUAUCUUAGAGUCGGGUUGCUUGAAAGUGCAGCCUAAAGUGGGUGAUAAACUUCAUCUAAGGCUAAAUAUAGACGCGAAUUCGAUAGCAAACAAGUACUGUGAAGGAAAGUUGCAAAGAACUUUGAAGAGAGAGUUCAAGAGAACGUGAAAUCGCUGGAGUGGAACCGGAGAGAGUUGACGUAGCCGGGUAACUAAGUUUCCUAAUGUCGCUUAAUUGUGGCUGCAGGUGAUGUAUGUUGCCUAUGGUUGCGCUGACAGCACUGGCUGUGCGUUCUGACCCGUUUGUGUUGCCCACUUCGGUGGUGUCUUACUUACGGUUAGGUCUGUCAUAGCUAGUGUUUUAUCCUGCUUGCAGGGUGUCAGUGUGAAAGUCGACCACCUCUCCGACCCGUCUUGAAACACGGACCAAGGAGUCA